rnacentral:lncRNA from 1 species
CGGGAGCUGCACCUGAAGUUUCUUUGCGCAUAUGUUGUGUAGGGUCACACCAGUUUGCUCCUCUAUUACAGCGAAAACACGUUGGUCAAAGGUGCCAUUGAGGCAUGCGAAACACUUGAUGUUGCGGGUGCAGUAGGUACGCCGUGAGGUAUUGAUUUGACAGCCACAGCACACGCAGUAGACAAGAAGCUUUAACUUAUCGUUGCUGUUUACGUUAUAGGCAGGUAAUUUAGGCAUCAUUUGGACUCAUGUCCAGAAAUCGGAGUGCGAUCAAUUGCAAUGUGUGUGGGGCACGACAUGAGUGAACCCGGGUGUGAUUUACACUCCUACAGAGUAUUUGAGUUGAGGACGGAUGAAAAGCAACGUCGCAGUUGCAAAAGCUCAUCCUUUUGCGCUGUUUUGUCCACAGCUCGAAGCCCCCUAAGCCCCCUACAGCCCCCCCAUACAAGCCCCCUGGAAAGCGCCCCAUGCUCACAUAGCUAGCUCUGGCGAGUCAUCAAGAUGGUGCACGCAGCAACUGCAGAGUGUUGCGGUGAGUUGACCUCGCACCCGCAUGACAGGGACAGGAAUGCACGCCGUGCUCACCAUCUUGCACACAACGCAAAAUCAAACAGAAUCCCAUGCCGCGACGUACGACUCGCCGUUUGGAUACAUACGGAAUUCCGCACCUAUACCAUACACAUCGUACAGAACCUCACAAUACCGUGCAUAUGGCGCCCUCGCCUUUUGGGCCACAGCGAAUACAGUGCUUCCGGCCACCGUCAUGUUCAAAGGCACCGAAAGACCUGGUAUUUUUGAUACGCGGCGAUUGAAAUCGUACCAUACCGAGUCGUCGGGCUGUGCCGAGAAGCCUGCCAAUGUCACAUCAAAUCCAGAUGCUUCCAGAGCACUAACUACUUCACCAGAUGUGUACUCGCGCGAAUGUGCGAGACCCAGCGAAUGACGGCGUCGGAAAAGAAACUGCAAUAUAUACACACAAUCAGACAGGUGAUGCCGCACACACCUUCAAUACACUACCUUGUGGUAUGAAUGCGGCGAAUUCCCAUGCAGCAUUUGAGCAAUGCCUCUCAGGCUACCUAAAUUUGGCGUUGAUAAAAAUAAUAUGCCGCCAGGUCGAAGAACACGAUGAAUUUCUAAGAUACCAAACAUUGGAUCAAGGCUUAAAUGUUCAAAAACAUGGAACAUAAUAACAUAGUCAAUGGAGGCGGACGGUAAUGGUAUCGGUUCUUGUUCCACGUCAUGCUUAAAUAGUGGAUAUUCGAAUGUGUGAUUGCGAAUUCGGAGUGAAAACCACCCUGAACAUGGCGCGUGAAGUUAAGCUUUACUCCUUCUUUGGUGGACAUACCAUUUGCGAGGUUGGGAAUAACUUUAUGGCGACCGGACGGCGCAUCCCAUGUGGUGACUUGUAUCCAGCUCGGAUCGAGAAGCAAAGAAAUUAUAGAAGGUAAAAUUCCAUUACCAUGCUCACCAAUGAAAAGAAACCGUGAUCGCUGCUGUGCAUAUUGCAUAAUUCGUUCCAUGCUUAGGGCAAUCCGAUUUACGCUAGCAUGAUUGUACGGGUCAUUUGUUGCAUGUGCAACUUCUCUUACAACCUCGUGUAUUUUUUGUACAUCUAUUGGCCAAAGCCGGGAAUCAGGGCCUUGGGCCCCAUCAUAUGUACUAUAUGACGAUGCAUGCCGUGGGCUGUAUGCGAUACACAAUACUGUAAAUACAAGCCGUAAAGGUGAAUACAUCUGGGACGGGCAAUGAAUGAGGAUUUGGUGGACGAUUGUUGAACGAAGGAGGUAAGCAAACUAGCGGAUUGCCAUGCGAUCCAUGGGGCGUGCCCCAAAGAGAGUCCAGUGACAUGGGACGCAACCUGACGCAACGUACGGUGUUAUAGUGCUGAGCAUGAGAGCAGGCGUAUGCAAGUAGUGACCCUUUGUGGCGUAGAGGUGAGGCGAAAGGAGGCUGGUAUAGGAUUGGCGACUGAAGUCUUAGUAUGAUCUGGAGUGCCAGAGUUGUAACAUACGUACGUUGAGCGAAAGGUACUGCGGAUGCUGGCGUGCGCACAACCUUCCGGACCGGUGACUGGGGCGGGGUCGGGG